GACGAACGCUGGCGGCGUGCUUAACACAUGCAAGUCGAACGGAAAGGCUCCAGCUUGCUGGAGUACUCGAGUGGCGAACGGGUGAGUAACACGUGGGUAAUCUGCCCUGCACUCUGGGAUAAGCCUGGGAAACUGGGUCUAAUACUGGAUAUGACCUUUCUCCUUAUGGGGUUUGGUGGAAAGUUUUUCGGUGUAGGAUGAGCCCGCGGCCUAUCAGCUUGUUGGUGGGGUGAUGGCCUACCAAGGCGACGACGGGUAGCCGGCCUGAGAGGGUGAUCGGCCACAUUGGGACUGAGAUACGGCCCAGACUCCUACGGGAGGCAGCAGUGGGGAAUAUUGCACAAUGGGCGGAAGCCUGAUGCAGCGACGCCGCGUGAGGAAUGACGGCCUUCGGGUUGUAAACCUCUUUCAGCAGGGACGAAGCGUAAGUGACGGUACCUGCAGAAGAAGCACCGGCUAACUAUGUG
rnacentral:rRNA from 1 species